UACAGAGGGUGCAAGCGUUAAUCGGAAUUAUUGGGCGUAAAGCGCGUGUAGGCGGCCAGAAAAGUCCGCUGUGAAAACUCGAGGCUCAACUUCGAGCUGUCGGUGGAAACUUUCUGGCUAGAGUCCGGAAGAGGAGAAUGGAAUUCCUGGUGUAGCGGUGAAAUGCGCAGAUAUCAGGAAGAACACCCGUGGCGAAGGCGGUUCUCUGGGACGGUACUGACGCUGAGACGCGAAAGCGUGGGGAGCGAACAGG
rnacentral:rRNA from 1 species